rnacentral:misc_RNA from 1 species
CCAAUAGCGUAUAUUAAAGUUGUUGCAGUUAAAAAGCUCGUAGUUGAAUUUCGGGGUUCUUCCGUUGGUCAGGCUAACAAGUCUGUACUAGCGUGUAGAAUCUCUACCUUCUGGGGAACCAUCAUGUUAUUAAUUUAGCGUGGUGGGAAACCAGGACCUUUACCUUGAAAAAAUUAGAGUGUUCAAAGCAGGCUUACGUCUGAAUACAUUAGCAUGGAAAAAUAAAAUAGGACGGUGGUCCUGUUUUGUUGGUUUCUGAAUCACCGUAAUGAUUAAUAGGGAUAGUUGGGGGCAUUAGUAUUCAAUUGUCAGAGGUGAAAUUCUUGGAUUUAUUGAAGACUAACUUCUGCGAAAGCAUUUGCCAAGGAUGUUUUCAUUAAUCAAGAACGAAAGUUAGGGGAUCGAAGACGAUCAGAUACCGUCGUAGUCUUAACCAUAAACUAUGCCGACUAGGGAUCGGACGAUGUUAAAUUUUAUUGACUCGUUCGGCGCCUUACG